rnacentral:rRNA from 1 species
GACGAACGCUGGCGGCGUGCUUAACACAUGCAAGUCGAACGGUGAAGGGACCGGUUUUUGCUGGUUCUGGAUGAGUGGCGAACGGGUGAGUAACACGUGAGUAACCUGCCCCCUUCUUCUGGAUAACCGCAUGAAAGUGUGGCUAAUACGGGAUAUUCUGCGCCUGCUGCAUGGUGGGUGUGGGAAAGAUAUUGUUUCGGUGGGGGAUGGGCUCGCGGCCUAUCAGCUUGUUGGUGGGGUGAUGGCCUACCAAGGCGGUGACGGGUAGCCGGCCUGAGAGGGUGGACGGUCACACUGGGACUGAGACACGGCCCAGACUCCUACGGGAGGCAGCAGUGGGGAAUAUUGCACAAUGGACGCAAGCCUGAUGCAGCGACGCCGCGUGAGGGAUGGAGGCCUUCGGGUUGUAAACCUCUUUCGCCAGUGAAGCAGGCCUGUCCCUUUUGUGGGUGGGUUGACGGUAGCUGGAUAAGAAGCGCCGGCUAACUACGUG